CAUGAACUUAGCUUGCUAAGUUUGAUGGCGACCGGCGCACGGGUGAGUAACACGUAUCCCCCUUGCCGAUGACUCGGGGAUAGCCUUUCGAAAGAAAGAUUCAUACCCGAUGGCAUAGUUCUUCCGCAUGGUAGAACUAUUAAAGAACUUCGGUCAUCGAUGGGGAUGCGUUCCAUUAGGCUGUUGGCGGGGUAACGGCCCACCAAGCCUUCGAUGGAUAGGGGUUCUGAGAGGAAGGCCCCCCACAUUGGAACUGAGACACGGUCCAAACUCCUACGGGAGGCAGCAGUGAGGAAUAUUGGUCAAUGGACGAGAGUCUGAACCAGCCAAGUAGCGUGAAGGAUGACUGCCCUAUGGGUUGUAAACUUCUUUUGUGCGGGAAUAAAGGAGCCUACGUGUAGGUUUUUGCAUGUACCGUAACGAAUAAGCAUCGGCUAACUCCGUGCCAGCAGCCGCGGUAAUACGGAGGAUGCGAGCGUUAUCCGGAUUUAUUGGGUUUAAAGGGAGCGUAGACGGGUUUUUAAGUCAGCUGUGAAAGUUUGGGGCUUAACCUUAAAAUUGCAGUUGAAACUGGAGACCUUGAGUACGGUUGAGGCAGGCGGAAUUCGUGGUGUAGCGGUGAAAUGCUUAGAUAUCACGAAGAACUCCGAUUG
rnacentral:rRNA from 1 species